rnacentral:rRNA from 1 species
CGUGCAGGCGGCCUUGUAAGUCCCGUGUGAAAGCCUACGGCUCAACCGUAGGACGCCGCGGGAUACUGCUUGGCUCGAGGGCAGGAGAGGGAAGUAGAAUUCCCGGUGUAGCGGUGAAAUGCGUAGAUAUCGGGAGGAAUGCCAGUGGCGAAGGCGGCUUCCUGGCCUGUCCCUGACGCUGAGACGCGAAAGCUGGGGGAGCAAACGGGAUUAGAUACCCCGGUAGUCCCAGCCGUAAACGAUGGUCACUAGGUGUUGGGGGGUACCCCUUCAGUGCCGAAGCUAACGCAUUAAGUGACCCGCCUGGGGGGUACGCCGCAAGGUUGAA